CGCGUUGAUUACGUCCCUGCCCCUUGUACACACCGCCCGUCGCUACUACCGAUUGAAUGGUUUAGUGAGGUCCUCCGAUUGGACCCGGUCCGGGCGGCGACGUCCGAGCCGGCGUCCGAGAAGACGAUCUAACUUGAUCAUUUAGAGGAAGUAAAAGUCGUAACAAGGUUUCCGUAGGUGAACCUGCGGAAGGAUCAUUA
rnacentral:ncRNA from 1 species